GACGAACGCUGGCGGCGUGCCUAAUACAUGCAAGUAGAACGCUGAAGGAGGAGCUUACUUCUCUGGAUGAGUUGCGAACGGGUGAGUAACGCGUAGGUAACCUGCCUGGUAGGGGGGGAUAACUAUUGGAAACGAUAGCUAAUACCGCAUAAGAGUAGAUGUUGAAUGACAUUUACUUAAAAGGUGCAAUUGCACCACUACCAGAUGGACCUGCGUUGUAUUAGCUAGUUGGUGGGGUAACGGCUUACCAAGGCGACGAUACAUAGCCGACCUGAGAGGGUGAUCGGCCACCCUGGGACGGAGACACGGCCCAGACUCCUACGGGAGGCAGCAGUAGCUGAUCUUCGGCAAUGGACGGAAGUCUGACCGAGCAACGCCGCGUGAGUGAAGAAGGUUUUCGGAUCGUAAAGCUCUGUUGUAAGAGAAGAACAAGUGUGAGAGUGGAAAGUUCACACUGUGACGGUUUCUUACCAGAAAGGGACGGCUAACUACGUGCCAGCCGCCGCCGUAA
rnacentral:rRNA from 1 species